rnacentral:snRNA from 1 species
AUGCUUACUUUGGCAGCACAGACAGUGAAAUUGGAACCAGAGAAUAGGCUGGCCCUUGCACGAGGAUGACAUGUAAAAUUUAUGGGCAUUCCAUAUUUGU